GUCCUAGCUGUAAACGGUGCACAUUUGCUGUAAGAGGAAUCGACCCCUUUUGUGGCGAAGCUAACGCGUUAAAUGUGCCGCCUGGGGAGUACGGUCGCAAGAUUAAAACUCAAAGAAAUUGACGGGGGCCUGCACAAGCGGUGGAGUAUGUGGCUUAAUUCGAUGCAACGCGAAGAACCUUACCUGGCCUUGACAUGUAUCUAGUAGAAGGGUGAAAGCCCGACGAGGUAGCAAUACCAGGGUACACAGGUGCUGCAUGGCUGUCGU
rnacentral:rRNA from 1 species